AUUGAACGCUGGCGGCAGGCCUAACACAUGCAAGUCGAACGAGUGGCGGACGGGUGAGUAAUGUCUGGGUAACCGCCAGAUGGAGGGGGAUAACUACUGGAAACGUUAGCUAAUACCGCAUACCAUCGGAUGUGCACAUAUGGGAUUAGCUGGUAGGUGGGGUAAAGGCUCACCUAGACGGCGAUCCCUAGCUGGUCUGAGAGGAUGACCAGCCACACGGGAAAUGAGACACGGUCCAGACUCUUACGGGAGGCAGCAGUGGGAAAUAUUGCACAAUGGGCGCAAGACAGAUGCAGCCAUGCCGCGUGUAUGAAUAAGGCCUUCGGGUUGUAAAGUACUUUCAGCGGGGAGGCGUUACCCGCAGAAGAAGCACCGGCUAACUCCGUGCCAGCCGCCGCGGUAAUAC
rnacentral:rRNA from 1 species